ensembl:lncRNA
GGACACCACUGUUAUCUGGAUUUGAUGGGGGGAAAGUUGAUUUAUUGGCGUUUCUAAUGGACACUCCCUUUGACACGCACCCCAGCCUAGCAUCCUCACCAUGAGGGGAGGAGGUAACUAAGGUGAUUAAGGCUCAUGGCUGGAUGCUUUUGUACAGAACUUAGGAAAUCAUCACAUCAACCCUCCAGGGCAGGUGCUAUUGCCAAUGAGGAAAUGGAGGCUCAGAGCAGCCAUCACCUUGCUGGCAAGUGGGGGUGAAAGGAUUCCACCAUGAGUCUGAGGUGGGUCCCUAAUAUUGACGGGGCCGGAGCAAGAGUACACAUAUGUCUAAAGUUAUAGAAAUUACAAAUGAAGCUUACACAAGUCAUGGAGAGGGCAUUCUGUCCUCCCACCUUAAAGACAGAAAGUCAUCCCUCGAUAUCGGGAUUGUUUCCAGGACCCCCUUCAGAUACCAAAAUCCGUGGAUGCUAAAGUCCCUUAUAUAAAACGGUGUGGUAUUUGCGUGUAACCUAGGCACAUCCUCCCAUAUGCUUGAAAUCAUCUCUAGAUUACUUAUAAUACAUAAUACAAUGUAAAUGCUGUGCAAAUAUAUUUGUUUAGGGAAUAAUGACGAGAAAAAAGUUCUACAUGUUCAGUACAGACACAACCAUGGGAGGCCUUUCCAUCCAGGAUUGGUUGAAUCCGCGGGUGCAGAACCUGUGGAUGUGGAGGGCUGACCACACCUUUGUACCUGGAAAGCCAGGGUUCAACGUAGGAUUCCCAGACUCCUUGGGGAUUUGCAUCAGGAGUGGCGGUGAGAGGAGGGCUGGCCACCAGCCUCCAGCCCCAGCAUCAGCUCGUCUCCCUUUCUUCUCGCCUCCAACUUCGUCUCACCUGGGAAGGAUCUCCCAGGCAUGCCUGUGGACACCCCAGUGCUCAGCCCAAUCUUGUCCUCCCUCGCCCUUACAGAGCCGUCCCUGGGCCACCCCUUGGUGCACAUCAGUGUCGCAGUCACCUGUGAGAGGAGGGGGCCCUGGAAGCAGGUUCCAGGAUGUUUGGGCAGGGAGUCCUGAGGUCCUGGGGAAGCAGGGGAGUGGACCCCUAGUGGGGACAUCCCAGCAGCCCUUUGGGAGGGAUGCAGCCCACAAGCAGGGCCCUCUUGGCUGAGUCUGAGGGGAUAAUGGAGUUCUCAGUCCAUGGCCUUGAUACUCUCAUGCCCUCCCAUCUGCUUGCUGUCUGGCCCCCAAGCCCCCCCGUCUUCUCCUGCGCCUUUGAUCACAUUUCCCUUCUCCUCCACUGCCCUCUUCUGUUUCCUCCACAGUCAGUCAUCUGCAGCAAGGACUCCGGGGUCACUGCCCAGGUCUGGACACUGGUGUUGAAAACCCCUCAGGACACAGGAGACAGGGAUCACGUGCUUGAUCCUCCCGCCCCUUUUCUGUGUUGCUGUGACCAAAGAGUCAGGAUCCCAUCCUCUCCUCUCCAAAUGCCAAGAAGCCCCCGGGGAAGGACCACAAGGGGCCAUGUCAGGCUCUGAAACUGGGCUAGUGAUGGCCACCCAUGGUCUUAUUUUCAAGUAAAACUCCAGAUUUUGACAAAGGGUGAGCAGGCUCUGGCUGCACAGCCACAACCAAGGAUGGAGGAGUCGCCACCAGCCAAAGCUCCAGGGCUCCGGCAAAGGGGAGCUAAGGUCCUGCUCCUCUGGCAAAUGGGCACCCGGGGCCAACGUCAGCGGUGCCUGGAUGUAGCUGUGACCCCAUUAUACUCUCAGUCCGGUCCAGCUGAGGGAUCCUGGUCACACCUAGAAGAAUCAAAGCCAGGCGGCCGUGCAGUGAUCAUGCAGACAGAAGGUGACCUUUCAGGACUGCCCCUGACACCUGCAGGGCCCAGGCUCAUUUCCAGGGCCUCCAUCAGGUGUCACCCGCUUGCCCAGAUUCUUCUCUCAAAUGAAGCAAAGACCUUAGGCCGAGGAGGGAAUUGAUUUAAGACCCACUAACAGAGGUUUGAAAACUUCUCAAAUAAGAUGAUGAGGGGGAGAGUGCACAAUUUAGCCCAGCGAGUGGAGCACACAGCAGCCUGGCAACAGCCUCCCGGUUCUGUAGGUAAAGAGCCGCCCCGAGGAGCGUGGUCAUGGGCUUUCUCCCUUCACGUGGACAGAAAAGGAACAGAUGAGUGCAGAGUGCCAUGCGGCUGAGGGACAGUGGCUGGAAGGGAACAGGAGGACUUCCCAAGGCUGGAGGUCUUGAAAAACAGGCUCAGUCUCUUUGAUCCAUGAUGAGUCAAGUGUGGAGAGGGAGGAAAGGGGAGAAUCCCUAUUCCUUCUGGAACUCUGAGGGGCCUCCAUGAUGUUCACCUGGGCAGUAGGGAGCACAGCUCCUUGGGAUCCAAUUCAACCCCAACGUUAACUGGACAUCUAUGAUGUGCGAGGCACCAGGCUGGUCUGGGAGAUAGUCGACUGCUGAGCUGCUGACCUACUGUGGGCAGAUGAAGGACUGAAGAGCCAGAGCACUGAGGAGACUGGGCCCAAUUGUCUUGAGCAGCCCACCCCUCCCCAGCCCUGUGUCUGUGUUUGGGUUCAUUUGGACAGUCGUGAUGGUCGGGUGAUGGGCAUGCCCAUCCACACUCCCCCUCAGGGCACUUUUGUGUAGCCUUAGGAACAAAAAUAAAGAUCUUGUUUUAUAUACCUUGCCUAGACAAGGUCUGGGAUGUGUGGUUAGAAAAUAUUUUUGUUUUUAUGGAAUUGCUAAACCCCUGGAGUGCCAGAGGAGGCCACAUGGAGUGUGGCUCCUGCGGCCUGUUUUCUUCUGCGUGGGAAGUGAGUCUGGACAUAAACGGUGACGCUUAACCCUGCAUCCUGGAAGUUCUAGGUUUAGAUAAAAUGUUUCCGAAUUACCCAGUGAGUGAGGAAGACCACACGAUCUUUAAAUUCCCUCCCAGCUCUCACAUCCUGUGACUAAUCAGCAGCUGUCCUAACUUAAAUCAGACAAAAACUAGUGGGUC